CGGUCCAGACUCCUACGGGAGGCAGCAGUGGGGAAUAUUGGACAAUGGGGGCAACCCUGAUCCAGCCAUGCCGCGUGUGUGAAGAAGGCUUUCGGGUUGUAAAGCACUUUCAGUGAGGAGGAAAACCUUACGACUAAUACUCGUGAGGCUUGACGUUACUCACAGAAGAAGCACCGGCUAACUCCGUGCCAGCAGCCGCGGUA
rnacentral:rRNA from 1 species